GUGUCAAUAAUUAUAUGCUCUAUGUACUUACUUGCAUCAUAACGAAAAGUCUGUAGAUUUCUAACUGAUUUUCUGAUAUAUGAAUUAGAACAGACAAGGCUUUGUGAUAUAGGCAGCCACGUUGGUGUAAUCACAUGAGAGGAGAGAGAAGUGGCACCUUUCCCGGAAAAUUGAGAGAGACGCCACAACAUGAACAGAUGCCUAGUAGAAAGACGCAAACCCUUACUACUCAACCUACUGCUGCGAAAGAUGUCCAAACAAUUCCCAGUACUUCCAAAAUUUUUCAUGUUACUACUGCCCAGAAUUUCAAAGAUGCAGUUGAUUCACUUUCAAAAUUUCUGCAUAUCAUAUCCCUAUGCCUGAAGUUGUCAAUAAACAACGAAGGAAACAGUCUGCUGAAAUUUUGGCAUCGAAGGAGGGCAUAGUGGAACGAAAAGGAGGGCAAGAGAAAAAAGUCAUCAAAAGCACAGGGAAACGAAAAGCGAGAGUUCCAAGAAUGCUUAUGUUCAUUGAUUCAGAAGAGGGUGAG
rnacentral:lncRNA from 1 species